CAGUCGCCGCGGUAAUACAGAGGAUGCAAGCGUUAUCCGGAAUGAUUGGGCGUAAAGCGUCUGUAGGUGGCUUUUCAAGUCCGCCGUCAAAUCCCAGGGCUCAACCCUGGACAGGCGGUGGAAACUACCAAGCUGGAGUACGGUAGGGGCAGAGGGAAUUUCCGGUGGAGCGGUGAAAUGUGUUGAGAUCGGGAAGAACACCAACGGCGAAAGCACUCUGCUGGGCCGACACUGACACUGAGAGACGAAAGCUAGGGGAGCAAAUGGGAUUAGAGACCCCAGUAGUCCCUGUCUCUUAUAC
rnacentral:rRNA from 1 species